AGAAGGAGGCCUUGGAAGCUAUCUGACCCAACAUAUACCUGACUAAGAGUCUUCUCCACAUCAUAUCAGUCCAAGUACUACAGCAAUUAUAGUUGGAACCAUGGGGGCUGAUAAGGUCACCAAUGGUAUAGAGGAAGAAGAGAAGAGAACCCAGGACUCCUAGUAGUAGCAGGAAUGAUGCGGAAGAAGAGACAGCAAGGAGACCGAGCAGUGGUCAGAUAGGAAUAUUCCUCUCUCGGCCCAGUAUAGAUCUGCAUCAUCACACUCCUAGAGGAUUAAGGGACUGGUUGGGAAGAACACUCUCUGAAACAAAUUACUCUUUACUCAAUCAUUUCCUCCAAGGGGAUGAGAUUCAAAAUCAAUUCAGUGAUAAAAUGAUAUUUCAUCUUGUAAACGUCUGUUUUGUUUUCUGUGCAUUCACAUCUCCCUCUGAGCCAGUGUUGGAACAUGGCUUCAAGUCAGAGAAUAUCAUAAUCCCUGAAGGACUGAAGCUGAGGAUCAAAACAAGGGCAAUGGAGACACA